UUGCUUCCAAUUGCUUCUACGGUGUGCUGGUGACGGGAGGGGAACAACCACCAUCUCUCUAUAUGUUUACCCAUUUACCAGGAAAUAUGUUUAUACUGUUUUCCAAUCAGGAUUUACCACAAGCCGGGAGUUCCACACCUAAUGACCAGGCCAAACCCAGCCCACUGUCAACAGAGAAAAGUCGGCCUCAAACAUGAGAGAUUUUAAAUCACAAUGGACGUUCGAGGAGCAUGACUGCCAGCACUGUGAGCAGCAGGGCUGUCUCCAGCCGUCGACAGGGAUGCCGGCUUCAUCUUCCACAGCCCGCAGGCAGUUCCAGGCACCCCUUCUUGCUGGCAAAAUGGGAGUUCACAGGCCAGAGGAGCCAUCAGUCCUAACACAGCACAAAGAAGGAAACACGACCAUGAGAGAACGGAGAAGGGCCACCCUAGGCAGCCAGCCAAAGGGGCAAGAGGUAAAAAGAGUGGAAGUGGCGCGCCGUCGAGAUUCCCCAAAAGAAAAUAGAAAACCAUCUUGGACAACCAGCUACAGCGCGUACCAACAAAUAAAAAGAAGACAUUCUGGAGUUCCCGCUGUGACACGGGGGGUUAGGACCCUGAUUACAGAUGCCUGGGUUGCUGUGGAGGCAUGGGUUGAAUUGCCGGCCCAGGGCAGUGGCUUAAAGGAUCUGUCACUGCCACAGGCGCAGCGUAGAUCACAGCUGUGGCUCAGAUUCAAUCCCUGGCUUGGGAACGUCCAUAGGCCACAGGUGUGGCCACCAAAAAAAAAAAAAAAAAAAAAAAGCUGCCCAAGAAUCCCCAAGAUCCCCAUUGCAGAACUGUUCAGGCCAUACACUGUUCUGGUGAAGAGUACAGCCUGGAGUCAGGGCGCCUGGAUGUGAACCCUGGUUCUGAUACUUAGCUGUAGAUGUUGGGCAAGUUACUUAGCUUUUUAGCGCUCCAGUUUCUUCAUCAGUAACGUAGGAAUAGUAACAGUACCCACCUGAUACAGUUGUCAUGCAUCACUUCUUCUCUCCAAGUUUAAAAAUACCUUUCAAAAGAAACAAGGAGGAAAUUAACUUGCUAAGAUUAUAUACCUUGUAGCAGUUAAAAAAAAAAAAUCCCCAGAGAAGUUAAAUCAUCCAAAAUGAGGUUGGGAGAGGGAAGACGUGGAGGGGAAGACACUGAUGAAAAAUUCUGGCUCCCAGUCCUUCAGAAGAGGGUGAACUGUUGAGGGAACAGCACUGUGAGGAGGAAACUAGCAAAACACAGAGGAGGAAAGACCAUUAUGAAAGAAUAUUCAAAGUACUUUUAGGAAAUUCUCUGGAGGGAAGUAGGAAGGCAAGCGUCCUAUCUCAUGGUGAGGCAGAAAGAGAACUGGAGAGCAAUCAGAGAAUGGAGUUUUAUUUCUAAAUCUGACACUGGUAUCACCUUGGUCAACUGACCGCACCUGCCUCAGCCUCAUUUUCCUUAAAAUUAUCUCCAUGCACUCUACUCUCUUCAGCUCUCAUAAUCUUUGAUUCUAGCAAUCAGUACUCCAGUUCAGGAGAUCUGAUACUCACGGGUCCUUCCAUGAAGACACAUGAAAGUCUAUAGCAGGCAAAGCCCCUCCAUCAAUGAGGCAAAUCAAGGGAAUCCUAGAAGGCUGGUUGUGGAAUUGGGUUCUGAGGGCUCUGCUCUCUAGGGAACAAUUUGGCUUAGUUGUCUCUUUCAAAGUCAUGGAAUCACAGGAUUGCCCAAACUGGAAAGUACCCUGCACCCUCAUUCUGCAGGUUCAGAAAAGUCAAAUGACCUGGCCAAGGUCAUCCAGCAGAAUAUGGCAGAGCCAGGACUAGAGCUUGCCCACUGCCUCUGCUGUCUGUAAAUGCAGGGGCUCAAGGGCUAGAACACAGCAAGUGUGCCCUUACAUAUGACUUUUAAUUGAACAGUGUCUUGGACACAAGCAGGGCUGGGGCUAGGGUAAGGUAAACGGGGCACUGGUGUCAGGAGCAAAAUUAAAGGCGGAGCAUAAAAAAACUCAGCAUUAAAACACAGUAUCUUUAAUGCACUACUAAAAAUUAAAAAUCCAUGAACAAAAUACACAAUAUAACAUUUUCAAAUAAAGACAGAAAUGGGGAGUUUCUGUCGUGGCUC
rnacentral:lncRNA from 1 species